AGCAAGCGGUAUCGGGAAGGCAGCUGCAGCAAAAUUCAUCAGUAAUGGUGCCAAAGUCGUCAUUGCUGAUAUACAACACCAACUAGGGCAAGCAACGGCGAAUGAGCUUGGACCCAAUGCUACUUUUAUACCCUGUGACGUAACGAAAGAAUCAGAUGUAUCCGAUGCUGUUGACUUUACCAUCUCCAAACACAAACGACUGGAUGUUAUGUACAAUAAUGCUGGGGUACCUUGCUACACGCCUCCGAGCAUUGUGGACCUUGACCUUGCCGUUUUUGACAGAGUUAUGGGCAUCAAUGUGCGAGGAGUCUUGGCCGGGAUCAAACACGCUUUGCGUGUGAUGAUCCCUAGUAGAACUGGC
rnacentral:lncRNA from 1 species